rnacentral:rRNA from 1 species
UCGGGAAUUUUGGGCAAUGGGCGAAAGCCUGACCCAGCAACGCCGCGUGAAGGAUGAAGCUUUUCGGAGUGUAAACUUCAUAAGAAUGGGACGAAUAAGGAGGGGCUAAUACCCCCUUUGAUGACGGUACCAUUUGUAAGCUCCGGCUAACUCCGUGCCAGCAGCCGCGGUAAUACGGGGGGAGCAAGCGUUGUUCGGAUUUACUGGGCGUAAAGGGCGCGUAGGCGGCGCAACAAGUCACUUGUGAAAUCUCCGGGCUUAACCCGGAGCGGCCAAGUGAUACUGUCGUGCUAGAGUGCGGAAGGGGCUACUGGAAUUCUCGGUGUAGCGGUGAAAUGCGUAGAUAUCGAGAGGAACACCUGCGGCGAAGGCGGGUAGCUGGGCCGACACUGACGCUGAGGCGCGAAAGCCAGGGGAGCGAACGGGAUUAGAUACCCCGGUAGUCCUGGCCUUAAACGAUGGAUACUUGGUGUCCGGGGUUACAUAGUCCCCGGGUGCCGGCGCUAACGCAUUAAGUAUCCCGCCUGGGGAGUACGGUCGCAAGACUGA